rnacentral:lncRNA from 1 species
CAGCAACAGGUGAGCUGAGAGCUCAAGUUCUGGGAGGGAAAUGUGCUGGGAUGGAAUCCUAGGUCAGGGUGCUGAGGCUUCUCACCAGCAGGCCGAGAACUGGAGCCCAGCCCAAUUGAAUACAAACCCAGUAAAGACCUGUUGACUAAGGGAAAAAAUCAUUGGGACCAGAAGGGAAGAGCUGCGAAUCCUGAAGUUACCUAAAGGGGUCUG